rnacentral:lncRNA from 1 species
GUGAGUCCUGAAACCCAAGCCCUUCCGUUUUCCUAUGAGAAAACUGAGGUUUCCUUUCGGACAUCACAAGAAGCUCUGUGGAAGCACUGUCGUCCCGAUCCAGGAGUAUUCUGUUAUUGGACUGUGCCCUGCUCGAAGACUCGGGCUGUCUCUCAGGCUUCCAUGCCAGUACAUUGUCUUGGUUUUUCUCUUAGCCACCUUUCCUAGGUUUCCCUCCCUGGUUCCUCCAGCCCUUUCCUAUAUAUAAAUCAGUUUAUCAAAUUCCUUUUUCCCCCGCUUUCUUUCCCUUUUUAGAAUGCCCACCCAAGUCCAGAGCAGGAACAAGUUGGAAGUUGGGGUGGUGGACUGAGGAAUGUGCCCUUCAGUGAACUAGGCAGAGCCAGCCCAGAAUCAAAUGUUUUUGUGUUUGUUUUGUUUUGUGGUGCUAGGGAUGGAACCCAGGGCUUCAUGCAAGCACUCCACCACUGAACCACAUCCCCAGGCCCAGGUUAUCAAAUAGUUGAUUUGUGCUUGAUUCUGGGCAUACAAAACUGAAUAAAAUUUGGCCCUUGAGGAGCAACCACCAGAACUUACUCUUGUCUUAACAUGACUGAUUCUAUCUCACUUCAACCUUUACCCCUAAGCUGAUGACUAUCAAACAUCCAUCUACAUCUGUGCUCUUAGGAAUUCUAGCCCCUUCUCAGAUUCCUACAGAACCAGCACUGGUAAGUACAGUCAUGAUUUAAUAUCCUUGGCUUAUAUUAUUGGACAUUA